rnacentral:rRNA from 1 species
GAUGAACGCUGGCUGUGUGCCUAAUACAUGCAUGUCGAGCGAAGUGACUUAUCACUUAGCGGCGAAUGGGUGAGUAACACGUACUCAACGUACCCUUCAGUUUGGCAUAGCGGUUGGAAACAACCGAUAAUUCCAAAUACUCGUAGAUGCCGCAUGGCAUUUACGGAAAAGGCGCCUUAAAGCGUCGCUGGAGGAGCGGGGUGCGCAACAUUAGGUAGUUGGUGAGGUAAAGGCUCACCAAGCCGACGAUCUUUAGCUGGUCUGAGAGGAUGACCAGCCACACUGGGACUGAGACACGGCCCAG